rnacentral:rRNA from 1 species
UAUGGUAAUUGCCAGCCGCCGCGGUAAAACGUAGGGGGCAAGCGUUAUCCGGAAUUACUGGGUGUAAAGGGUGCGUAGGUGGUAUGGCAAGUCAGAAGUGAAAACCCAGGGCUUAACUCUGGGACUGCUUUUGAAACUGUCAGACUGGAGUGCAGGAGAGGUAAGCGGAAUUCCUAGUGUAGCGGUGAAAUGCGUAGAUAUUAGGAGGAACAUCAGUGGCGAAGGCGGCUUACUGGACUGAAACUGACACUGAGGCACGAAAGCGUGGGGAGCAAACAGG